AGAGAUUUAGGUUAACUUAAACCAAGGGCCUUCAAAGCCCUAAACAUGGGCAGCAAAACUCCUAAUCUCUG
rnacentral:tRNA from 1 species